CCUACGGGAGGCAGCAGUGGGGAAUAUUGCACAAUGGGGGAAACCCUGAUGCAGCGACGCCGCGUGAGCGAUGAAGUAUUUCGGUAUGUAAAGCUCUAUCAGCAGGGAAGAAACAGACGGUACCUGAGUAAGAAGCCCCGGCUAACUACGUGCCAGCAGCCGCGGUAAUACGUAGGGGGCAAGCGUUAUCCGGAUUUACUGGGUGUAAAGGGAGCGUAGACGGCGAAGAAAGUCUGAAGUGAAAGCCCGCGGCUUAACCGCGGAACUGCUUUGGAAACUUUUUUGCUGGAGUACCGGAGAGGUAAGCGGAAUUCCUAGUGUAGCGGUGAAAUGCGUAGAUAUUAGGAGGAACACCAGUGGCGAAGGCGGCUUACUGGACGGUAACUGACGUUGAGGCUCGAAAGCGUGGGGAGCAAACAGGAUUAGAUACCCCAGUAGUC
rnacentral:rRNA from 1 species